rnacentral:lncRNA from 1 species
GCAGUCGGUCAAGCUUUCAACAAUCGAAAGUAUUGUCUUCUGGAUAAGUUUUGUUUCUUGUACUCUGUCAAGAACUAACAUGUUGCUAGUAGCUACCCUAAAGGCUUGAUUCAUAGAGCCAGAGCGUCUCAACUAUAUAUAGGCCCACUAAGGGGAUGUGAGUUAGAACCCACUAGGGCGAGACGCUCAUGUCUCCUUGAUGGGUGGUUGUGUGCCAAUGUACGGUCGAGGUGCUCUCAAGUUUGUAAACCAAGCCCUCAAGGCAGCCGCUCUCGACAGAGUACGGGAGACAACCCUUUCGAGAGUCAACAUGUCGUCAGCAGUUGCCCUAAGGGCUUGGUUCAUAGAGCCAGACCAUCUCGACUGUAUACGGGUCCACCAAGGGGAUGUGGGCGAGAACCCCACCAGGGGCGAGAUGCUCAUGUCCCCUUGGUGGGUGGUGUGUGCCCAUGUAAGGUCAAGGCACUCUCAAUUCUGUAAACCAAACCCUUAAGGCAACUGCUCAUGGCACGCUGACUGUUGACAGAGUACGGGAGACAAAAACCCUUUCUAAGGGCAAUACCUUCGAUUAUUAGUAGGGGCAAAGACAAACCUCCCAAUUAAUAUAAUAGUAAAA